GCCCCUAGUGCACUGGGUAGAAGAGUACUCAGUAGGGAACCAACCCCCAGCCCCUAGUGCACUGGGUAGAAGAGUACUCAGUAGGGAACCAACCCCCAGCCCCUAGUGCACUGGGUAGAAGAGUACUCAGUAGGGAACCAACCCCCAGCCCCUAGUGCACUGGGUAGAAGAGUACUCAGUAGGGAACCAACCCCCAGCCCCUAGUGCACUGGGUAGAAGAGUACUCAGUAGGAAACCAACCCCCAGCCCCUAGUGCACUGGGUAGAAGAGUACUCAGUAGGGAACCAACCCCCAGCCCCUAGUGUACUUAGUAGAAGAGUACUCAGUAGGGAACCAAACCCAGCCCCUAGUGUAUUUAGUAGAAGAGUACUCUGUAGGGAACCAAACCCCAGCCCCUAGUGUACUUAGUAGAAUAGUACUCAGUAGGGAACCAAACCCCAGCCCCUAGUGUACUUAGUAGAAGAGUACUCAGUAGCGAACCAAACCCCAGCCCCUAGUGUAAUCAGUAGGGAACUACUUCAGAGCCAUUGCAGUAGAGUGGUUGAAAUUCUUUCCUCCUCGAUGUAACCAACCAGAUAGAUUGUUUCAGCUCAGUCUUUGAGGACGUCCAGUUUGCUGCUCAGUCUUUGAGGACGUCCAGUUUUCUGCUCAGUCUUUUGAGGACGUCCAGUUUGCUGCUCAGUCUUUGAGGACGUCCAGUUUGCUGCUCAGUCUUUGAGGACGUCCAGUUUGCUGCUCAGUCUUUGAGGACGUCCAGUUUGCUGAUCAGUCUUUGAGGACGUCCAGUUUGCUGCUCAGUCUUUGAGGACGUCCAGUUUGCUGCUCAGUCUUUGAGGAUGUCCAGUUUGCUGCUCAGUCUUUCGAGGACGUCCAGUUUGCUGCUCAGUCUUUGAGGACGUCCAGUUUGCUGCUCAGUCUUUCGAGGACGUCCAGUUUGCUGCUCAGUCUUUGAGGAUGUCCAGUUUGCUACUCAGUCUUUGAGGACGUCCAGUUUGCUGCUCAGUCUUUGAGAACGUCCAGUUUGCUGCUCAGUCUUUGAGAACGUCCAGUUUGCUGCUCAGUCUUUGAGGACGUCCAGUUUGCUGCUCAGUCUUUGAGGACGUCCAGUUUGCUGCUCAGUCUUUGAGGACGUCCAGUUUGCUGCUCAGUCUUUGAGGAAAUGCAGUUUGCUGAUCAGUCUUUGAGAACGUCCAGUUUGCUGCUCAGUCUUUGAGAACGUCCAGUUUGCUGCUCAGUCUUUGAGAACGUCCAGUUUGCUGCUCAGUCUUUGAGGACGUCCAGUUUGCUGCUCAUCCAGUUUGCUGCUCAGUCUUUGAGAACGUCCAGUUUGCUGCUCAGUCUUUGAGGAUGUCCAGUUUGCUGCUCAGUCUUCGAGGACGUCCAGUUUGCUGCUCAGUCUUCGAGGACGUCCAGUUUGCUGCUCAGUCUUCGAGGACGUCCAGUUUGCUGCUCAGUCUUCGAGGACGUCCAGUUUGCUACUCAGUCUUCGAGGACGUCCAGUUUGCUGCUCAGUCUUUGAGAACGUCAAGUUUGCUGCUCAGUCUUUGAGGACGUCCAGUUUGCUGCUCAGUCUUUGAGGACGUCCAGUUUGCUGCUCAGUCUUUGAGGACGUCCAGUUUGCUGCUCAGUCUUCGAGGACGUCCAGUUUGCUGCUCAGUCUUCGAGGACGUCCAGUUUGCUGCUCAGUCUUCGAGGACGUCCAGUUUGCUGCUCAGUCUUCGAGGACGUCCAGUUUGCUGCUCAGUCUUCGAGGACGUCCAGUUUGCUGCUCAGUCUUCGAGGACGUCCAGUUUGCUGCUCAGUCUUCGAGGACGUCCAGUUUGCUGCUCAGUCUUCGAGGACGUCCAGUUUGCUGCUAACGUAUUGUGUAAUAUUGCAAUAACUGUUAUAACAUCCAUGAUGCAGUUUAUAACCUGACCUUUAAUUCUGAUGUUAUCAAAGAGAUACAUGCGGCUCCAGUAUUUACUCAUUAAUGAAUUACUAUGUGACAGUGAUUUCUAAACAAAGCUAGAAAAUACUUCUAUACUAAAGAUCCUGCAUAGCUAUGUUUUGCAGGUUAGAUUGUAUCUAGCCCUAAACCUUCCACAGGUCUGUGUACCAGUCUGUUUCUGCUCUUGUGUCACUGGCUUGUUUAGUCAUGUAGCUAGCCAUGUUUGUCUCUGCUUUAGGCCAGGCAACAAUGUAGCCAUGUAGUGGCAUAGACACGUAUCCAUGCAGCCAUGUAGCUGAGUUGCCACAUAGUCAUGUAGCCACAUAGAUUGUAACAAUGUAGCCAUGCAGCGGAACUGGACACAGAAACCAGGCUAAUCUUCCAAAGGAUGCUAACUAACCCAGUUUUAGCUCUAAAACCAACCACAAUACCAAUGAUCUUUUUCUGUACUGAAAUUCCAAAUACUGUUACUACAUGGCAGUUAUGUACAUAUUGUUGUUUUGUUCCUUUUCCUCAUUUUAUCAUUUAACUGUAAGAUGUAAAUAUAGUUUUUUAUUGUUCCCGGAGGCUGUUGCCAUAGUGAUAACCAAAAUAUACCUGUGUUGUGCACCUGUCCCAGUCUCUUGCUCCAGUGGUUGUUUGUUUGUUCUCCCCAGUUCUACAGAUGUUUUCUCCCCCUCCCCACUCUAUAGCCACUGAGGUAAAUAAAGUCUGGUUUGGUGUACAUA